rnacentral:rRNA from 1 species
UUGGAAACGAAUGCUAAUACCCCAUAUGCUUUCGAGUAAAAUGGAUUUUAUCUGCCUAAAGAGAAGCUCGCGGCUGAUUAGCUUGUUGGUAAGGUAAAAGCUUACCAAGGCGACGAUCAGUAUCUGGUUUGAGAGGACGAUCAGACACACUGGAACUGAGACACGGUCCAGACUCCUACGGGAGGCAGCAGUGGGGAAUUUUCCGCAAUGGGCGAAAGCCUGACGGAGCAAUACCGCGUGAGGGAAGACUGCCUAUGGGUUGUAAACCUCUUUUUUCAGGGAGGAAUAAAAUGACGUGUACCUGAAGAAUAAGCAUCGGCUAACUCCGUGCCAGCAGCCGCGGUAAGACGGAGGAUGCAAGUGUUAUCCGGAAUCACUGGGCGUAAAGCGUCUGUAGGUGGUUUAAUAAGUCAACUGUUAAAUCUUGAGGCUCAACUUCAAAAUCGCAGUCGAAACUAUUAGACUAGAGUAUAGUAGAGGUAAAGGGAAUUUCCAGUGGAGCGGUGAAAUGCGUAGAGAUUGGAAAGAACACCGAUGGCGAAAGCACUUUACUGGGCUAUUACUAACACUCAGAGACGAAAGCUAGGGUAGCAAAAGGGAUUAGAUACCCCAGUAGUC